ACUACGGGAGGCAGCAGUGGGGAAUAUUGGGCAAUGGGCGCAAGCCUGACCCAGCAACGCCGCGUGAAGGAAGAAGGCUUUCGGGUUGUAAACUUCUUUUCUCAGGGACGAAGCAAGUGACGGUACCUGAGGAAUAAGCCACGGCUAACUACGUGCCAGCAGCCGCGGUAAUACGUAGGUGGCAAGCGUUAGCCGGAUUUACUGGGGGUAAAGGGUGUGUAGGCGGGAAAGCAAGUCAGAUGUGAAAACCAUGGGCUCAACCUGUGGCCUGCAUCUGAAACUGUUUUUCUUGAGUACUGUAGAGGCAGACGGAAUUCCUAGUGUAGCGGUGAAAUGCGUAGAUAUUAGGAGGAACACCAGUGGCGAAGGCGGUCUGCUGGACAGCAACUGACGCUGAGGCGCGAAAGCGUGGGGAGCAAACAGGAUUAGAUACCCCUGUAGUC
rnacentral:rRNA from 1 species